rfam:TPA: Bos taurus chromosome 14, whole genome shotgun sequence.
UCCCUGGUGGCUCAGUCAGUAAAGAAUCUGUCUACAGUGCAGGAGACCCAGGUUCGAUCCCUGGAUGGGGAA